UACGUAGGUGGCAAGCGUUGUCCGGAAUUAUUGGGCGUAAAGCGCGCGCAGGCGGUCCUUUAAGUCUGGUGUGAAAGCCCACGGCUCAACCGUGGAGGGUCAUUGGAAACUGGGGGACUUGAGUACAGAAGAGAAGAGUGGAAUUCCACGUGUAGCGGUGAAAUGCGUAGAGAUGUGGAGGAACACCAGUGGCGAAGGCGACUCUUUGGUCUGUAACUGACGCUGAGGCGCGAAAGCCAGGGUAGCGAACGGG
rnacentral:rRNA from 1 species